GACGAACGCUGGCGGCGUGCUUAACACAUGCAAGUCGAACGGAAAGGCCCUGCUUUUGUGGGGUGCUCGAGUGGCGAACGGGUGAGUAACACGUGAGUAACCUGCCCUUGACUUUGGGAUAACUUCAGGAAACUGGGGCUAAUACCGGAUAGGAGCUCCUGCUACAUGGUGGGGGUUGGAAAGUUUCGGCGGUUGGGGAUGGACUCGCGGCUUAUCGGCUUGUUGGUGGGGUAGUGGCUUACCAAGGCUUUGACGGGUAGCCGGCCUGAGAGGGUGACCGGCCACAUUGGGCCUGCGAUACGCCCCAGACUCCUACGGGAGGCAGCAGUGGAGAAUAUUGCACAAUAGGCGGAAGCCUGAUGCAGCAACGCCGCGUGCGGGAUGACGGCCUUCGGGUUGUAAACCGCUUUCGCCUGUGACGAAGCGUGAGUGACGGUAAUGAGUAAAGAAGCACCGGCUAACUACGUG
rnacentral:rRNA from 1 species